ACGGCGAGUGAAGCGGCAACAGCUCAAAUUUGAAAUCUGGCGCCUUCGGUGCCCGAGUUGUAAUUUGUAGAGGGUAGCUCGAGCCCGCCCCCGUCUAAGUCCCCUGGAACGGGGCGUCGUAGAGGGUGAGAAUCCCGUAUGCGACGGGGUGGCGUGCUCGUGUGAGCUCCCUUCGACGAGUCGAGUUGUUUGGGAAUGCAGCUCUAAAUGGGAGGUAAAUUCCUUCUAAAGCUAAAUACCGGCCAGAGACCGAUAGCGCACAAGUAGAGUGAUCGAAAGAUGAAAAGCACUUUGGAAAGAGAGUUAAAAAGCACGUGAAAUUGUUGAAAGGGAAGCGCUCACGACCAGACUCGGGCGCGGCUGCUCAGCCGGUCUUCUGACCGGUGCAUCGGUCGCGCCCGGGCCAGCAUCGGUUCGGGCGGUCGGAUAAAGGUCUCGGGAACGUAGCUCCCCUCGGGGAGUGUUAUAGCCCGGGGCGCAAUGCGGCCUGCCCGGACCGAGGAACGCGUUCGCUAGGAUGCUGGCGUAAUGGUCGUUAGCGGCCCGUCUUGAAACACGGACCAAGGAGUCUACCAUCUGUGCGAGUAUUAGGGUGUCAAACCCUUGUGCGUAAUGAAAGUGAACGGAGGUGGGAACCCUCGGGUGCACCAUCGACCGAUCCAGAUGUCCUCGGACGGAUUUGAGUAAGAGCACCGCUGGUGGGACCCGAAAGAUGGUGAACUAUGCGCGGAUAGGGUGAAGCCAGAGGAAACUCUGGUGGAGGCUCGCAGCGGUUCUGACGUGCAAAUCGAUCGUCAAA
rnacentral:rRNA from 1 species